GGAAGAGUCUAAAAACAGCUCUACACUUAGCUUUGUCCUUGCAUUGAUGACAAGCGAUGUUGGAUCCUGAAAGGUGGGGAUGGGAGGUAGGAAGACCCAGGAAGUUGCUGUGAAGGCUAAAUCCUAAAGACAGUCACUAAAAGUUUCCAGAAGGGGCAUCUAUCACUCCACAGGCAAGCAAGAUGAGACCAUGUUGAAAAGGUCUUAAAGAAGCCAGGGAAGAGGUGAAACAUCUCUCUGUGUGCUGAGGACCAUACCAGGUCCUUCAUUAUCAUAUUCUACACAUUGAAAAUGAAGGCCUGUGCUGAGAGUGAAAUGUGUUACUACACGUGCCUCACCUUCAUUUUCAACAGGACCUAUUGCCAUCUCACUUUGCCAGACUCCAUUAUGCAAGAGAGGCUUUGCCAGAAGCAAGGAUGCUGUAGAGGAAAGUAAUGAAAAUGUGAGGAUUUCUCAGAAGGCCACAUACAAUCUCUAGGUCUUUCCAGUACACACAGCUUCAAAAGCCAGGUGCUGUGUUCCCCAAGCAGGUCAGGGCAUUUCCAGGAGCCCUGGAUUCCAGAAGCUCAGGACACCUCAGUGGUAAAGAGACCCUAAUGCCGGUGACAGCACAGACCCUGGAAACCCUAGAUUGCCUCCGUGUGUUCCUCUUGGCCUCAGCAGGGCUGGUUUCCCCCUCCUGUAGGAGCAGAGGAGGCUCUCCUCUCUUGAGCCCAGGGCCUAGCAUAGUGACCAUAAGGAAGCAUAGAAGAUCCAGCUGCAGAUUUGGAAAACAGAGCCCUCAUCUCUGGAAGAGCCAAAACUGAUCCUCAACAUGUGCCAUGCACAUCAGAUAUCAAACGCUUCAUUCAUUUUGCCUUCGCUGGGUAACCAGUGACCUUGAGAAGUCACCUCUCUUGAGUCUCAAUUUCUUCAAGUUGGGAACAUUACAUGACAGGACAGGACUGUGAGGAUUAAAUGUAAACAACAUUUUUUUUUUUUCUAUAGAACAUACUGUGGGGCCAGCACCAUGCAAGGUGCUUUUAUCUACAAUUUAUUUCUUUCCCUUCCCAUGCCUUCUGCCUCUUUGAAUAACUGCUGCAAUGGCUGUAGAGAGAUAAAUGCAGUAGACCAAGACUUUUAGUGAUUUUUAAACAAUGUUCUAGGGCAAAUACAUGGGUAUGUUUACAUACUCCACAAAGUGAAAAAAUUAUGCUAGUCAGUGUGCAAAGUGUGUUUUUCCAGACCUGCAAAAACUGAGAUCAACUUCCAUAUUUCCAACUUCCAUAUUCCCUUCAUCCCUUAAGCUACCAGGCAGAGGAUGGGAGAUAAAAUUUGGCCAUAAACUUGU
rnacentral:lncRNA from 1 species